GUCCAACGAUUUUGAAGGAUUCUAUUAGGUGAUGGAUUGUGGAUGGAUUGUGAAGGAUUUUAGGACCCUCGGUAUAAAUAGCAAACCCUUUCAGAAAUCUGCUCUACAGAGCUGAGAUUUCGACAAUAUCUCUCUCAUCGAGAAGAUGAAAAUACGAACGGCAAUCUGGAGAAGACUACCAGCCAUGUCCAGCUCUGCCGCAGUCGACGGCGUCGCAGCUACCGCGCUCCGCUCAAUUUUCUAACCCGUCUAUCUAAGCCGAAAAAUCCAGUCGUCGAGCCGACGAGAUCCGAGUGGUGGCAGUGAGCAAGACGAAUCUGGCCGUUGUCCUCUACCAAGUAUAUGACGCCGGCCACCGCUGCUUCAGCAAGAGCUACGUGCAUGGAAUCUUCGAGAAAGCUCCUCAAGUUUCUGCUCUGAGCAAGAUAAUUGAAAUAGGAUAUCAGAGUUGAUUAAUUGAGUGGAUAUCAGUCGUAAAUCUACAUGAUAACACACAUUGGAGUAUGUGGGGUGGCACCAGAAUGCUGCAACAACGAACAAAUUCUAGAUCAGCAUUUUAGAAGCUUCAGAUCUAACCCCUCCCUUAAUAAAGCCUCUAGUCGUUGAUGAGAUUAGAAUUAGGUUUAGAUAAUAUUCUUGUCAAUAAACCUAUAACCUAACAUUUGCGGGUUGUUGUGAUUCAUUGUGAGAACUUUAUUGUCAUUCUUCCUCAUGUACCUUCAGAGCCAUAUUUGACUAAAGAGCUUACUACAAGUGUUACAAUGAUGGAUAUA